rnacentral:rRNA from 1 species
UAGCGGCGGACGGGUGAGUAACACGUGAGGAACCUGCUUUACACAGGGGAAUAACACCGUGAAAACGGUGCUAAUACCGCAUAACACCGCACUAUGGCAUCAUAGAGCGGUCAAAGGAGAAAUCCGGUGUAAGAUGGCCUCGCGCCCGAUUAGUUAGUUGGUGGGGUAAUGGCCUACCAAGACUGCGAUCGGUAGCCGGACUGAGAGGUCGAACGGCCACAUUGGAACUGAGAGACGGUCCAGACUCCUACGGGAGGCAGCAGUGGGGAAUAUUGGGCAAUGGGGGAAACCCUGACCCAGCAACGCCGCGUGAAGGAAGAAGGCCUUCGGGUUGUAAACUUCUUUGAUCAGGGAAGAAACAAAUGACGGUACCUGAAGAACAAGCCACGGCUAACUACGUGCCAGCAGCCGCGGUAAUACGUAGGUGGCAAGCGUUAUCCGGAUUUACUGGGUGUAAAGGGCGUGUAGGCGGUCUCAUAAGUCAGAUGUGAAAUUCCCGGGCUUAACCCGGGCGCUGCAUCUGAAACUGUGGGACUUGAGUACUGGAGAGGAUAGUGGAAUUCCUAGUGUAGCGGUAAAAUGCGUAGAUAUUAGGAGGAACACCGGUGGCGAAGGCGACUAUCUGGACAGUAACUGACGCUGAGGCGCGAAAGCGUGGGGAGCAAACAGGAUUAGAUACCCUGGUAGUCCACGCCGUAAACGAUGGAUACUAGGUGUAGGGGGUAUCGACCCCCCCUGUGCCGGAGUUAACACAAUAA